GAGCCCCCCGCAGCCUCCGCGCAGCCGGACAAACAAUGUGAGACUUGGCGGAACAAAAGCGGCCGGGCUUGGGUUGCUGAACACGUCUGAGGCCAGACGAGCCGCGCGAUUUAUUGGACUCGGAGAGCCCCGGCUCCGGCCGCUACUCCAGCCCCGGCCCCGCUCCGGCCACCAGGAGAAGCCGCUGGCGUGGGGAGCGCGGCUCAGCCCGAGGCCCGUUCCGCCGCAGUUCUGGGGAUGCCCGCGACACCAGGCUGGACGUGGGUUCACCCUAUGUGUGAUGCUCGUUUUCUGGCUGAAAAAUUGUAGGUCUCUGGCCCUGGUGCGAUGAGAGUUCACUGGGAAUAUCCUGCUCAGAUUGGCUCAUUAUUACAUAAAUCAGGGGUGGGGGUUAUAGAAAACCCCACCCUCCAAAAGCCAUGAACUGUGAGGAGCUGCCAGCAGGACCUUGUCUUGAGGGACCCUCAGCAGAAGCCCCUCACCAUGGCUGAUCCACUUCAGCCUCCUCCUCUCCCUGCUCCUGAUGGCAGACCCUGGCCUGGAGCGUGAUGUGGACCCUGAUUUACACCAGCUGACCAGAGCUGCUGACCAGAGCUGCUGACCAGCACCAGGCCUCGGCGUGGGGACGCAGUACCAGCUCAGGGAGCGCCAGGGUGCCGAGGACACCAGGACAUCCCCAUCGUGCCACCACACAUCGCCCUGUGGGCCGCUCACUGGUGAAGAUCAUAAGGCUGGAAGAAUAGGAAAAAUUAAAAAAAAAAAAAAACAGGAGAGAAGAAAGAAAAAGAGUCUCCAACCCCAGGAAAUCUGUGUUAAUUGCUUAUGAAUGUCUCUGUCUAAAAAAUUAUCGAAUUGAUGUUGUCGUGCUUUUUUUUGACAGCCUGUCUGUUACAUUUUAUUAAAAUAUUCAUGCACCGAAAUCUAAUUACUAGGCAAAUUUAAUGAUAAUGAAAUGAAGGCACUUUAGCAGAAAGCAUAGGGCCUUGUUAAUGUUUUCUCAGCCUCUGUCUUGUUCAUAUUUUUAAUUUUUUCUUUUUUUUACUACUGUCUUUCUUGCAUAUGAAAAAAAAAAAAGAUCACUGAAAAUAAAACUCAGAUUGCCGAUAA